AAUCAUCAAGAUUGUAACUUUUGUGAGAUCUGGAUUGGACCCAUGAUUCCAACUCGGGUCUUUGAGCUUAAAGUUGGUUUCUCCGAUCAGCUUCCUGGAGCGCUCAGCCAUAGUCUACAGGGACAGACCCUCUAUUAUGUAUGGAGACAUCGUCUACACUUGGAGACAGACACUUGAACGAUGCACCAGACUUGCUUCUUCUCUUGCCCAACUUGGAAUUUCUCAAGGCGAUGUGAAUGCAUUUGAGCUCGCCUUCUUCGUUUGGGUUCCAAGCUGGCAGCUAAGAAUCCGAAAAGAGGAAUAAAAUGGUUCUUAGAGCAAGCUGCUGCUGAGAAGGUUAAUGAGAGAAAAUAUAAAUGUGAUCAUGCCAGGUCAAAGAGGUUGAAAACAACAAUAUCUUGAUGCCUCUUCUAGGGUACAGACUAUGGUCUCGCAUAAGCAACCACUCUCUCUAAGGUUGCAUUUAGGACUAAGGUCUUCCGUCUUCCACCCAUAUACCAACAGCAAUGGAAGCAUUUGUCUUGAUAUCCUCAAAGAGCAAUGGAAUCCAGCCCUUACUAUCUCUAAGAGGAGGAGGUUGGAAGGUGAAAGAUGAGGGAGAGAGAUCAAGAGGUUGCAGCAAUGGAAGGGGCUGUCGUGUGGUGGUGGCGGCUCUGGCAAAGAUAGAGUUGAUGCACUCAGUAUAUUAUUCCACAACCUUGAAUUGUAGCAGGUUCUGAAGGUAUCAAAGGCUUCAACCAGCUCAGAUAGUCAUACUCAAUAGACCCUCCACAUAAUUAAACUAGCCCAGAUCUCAAGUAAGUUCCAGAAAUAUUGCCUUCAAAAUGCAGUGAUGGCUUUCUUUCGCCUUCGAAGUUGGUGGAAAGGGAUCAUGGAAAUGGGUGCGACAAUACUUGCGAGGAGCUAAGGGAGUUUGGGAAAACUGAAGAUGAUUUGAAGUCACUUCAAAGUAUUGGUCAGAUGAACCCUGAGCUCUUCCUUAGAGUGGGCAUCAAACCACCCAAGGCAUGUUUUAUAUAGUAUUACUGACUUCAUAUUAUUAGUGACAUGUUCAGUAAAUUUUUUAUGCACCCUAGUAAUGUUAUCAUGCUAAGAGUCUUCUUCCUUAUUUUAUUGAAGUGUUCCAGGGUUUUCUUCUCUAUGGACCCCCGGGAACAGGGAAGAUAUUGCUAGCAAAGUAAUUGCGAGCAACAUAGAUGCUAACUUUAUAAAAUUAUUCAUCCCGUACAAAAUCUCUUUGAGGAUAAUGAUAUAGCUAAACAGCUCUUACAAAGUGUUUUAGUAUGUUUCUUUUUCCAAUUUCGAUUACAUUUUCAUACUUGAGUGUUAGCCAAGAAUAUAAGAAUGGGUGAAAAGCUCAACCUACAUUUUCUCUAUCUUUGUGGAGCUAGAAAUUGAAGUUGGAUAGAAAUUGAAGUUCUCUAUCAAGAUAGCAGGCCUAGCUUGCUGGAUAUCUACUUGUGCUCUAAUUAUAUUAUUAAACACUUGUUCUGCUUAUAGGAGAGCAAAGAGCAGUUGAAACCCAUGGUGGCUUUGCUACAGCUUGUUUCUCUAUAUCGAAAGGAUAUUAUUUGGCAAGGAGAUAUCAUUGGAGUUAAUGCAGUGCUGCAGUUAUUCAUGGUUGAUAUCCAAUCAGAA